UACAGAGGGGGCUAGCGUUGUUCGGAAUUACUGGGCGUAAAGGGCGCGUAGGCGGCCCGUUAAGUCGAACGUGAAAGCCCCGGGCUCAACCUGGGAAUGGCGAUGGAUACUGGCUCGCUAGAGUGCGGUAGAGGAGAGUGGAAUUCCCGGUGUAGCAGUGAAAUGCGUAGAGAUCGGGAGGAACAUCAGUUGCGAAGGCGGCUCUCUGGACCAGCACUGACACUGAGGCACGAAAGCGUGGGGAGCAAACAGG
rnacentral:rRNA from 1 species